AGCGGCGGACGGGUGAGUAACGCGUGGGUAACCUGCCUCAUACAGGGGGAUAACAGUUAGAAAUGACUGCUAAUACCGCAUAAGACCACAGCACCGCAUGGUGCAGGGGUAAGAACUCCGGUGGUAUGAGAUGGACCCGCGUCUGAUUAGUUAGUUGGUGGGUAACGGCCUACCAAGGCGGCGAUCAGUAGCCGACCUGAGAGGGUGACCGGCCACAUUGGGACUGAGACACGGCCCAAACUCCUACGGGAGGCAGCAUG
rnacentral:rRNA from 1 species